AUUUUUUUCGAUUUUUUUGGAAUUUUUUUCGAUUUUUUUGGAAUAUUUUCGAUUUUUUUUCGAAUUUUUUUUCAAAUUUUUUUUCGAUUUUUUUCGUACUUUUUCGAUUUUUUUUUAAUUUUUUCCGUUUUUUUUAUUUUUUUUCGAAUUUUUUUCGAUUUUUUUUGAAUUUUUUUCGAAUUUUUUCCUAUUUUUUCUGCGGAUUUUUUUCCAAUUUUUUUUUCUAUUUUCUCUUCACUUCUCUUGUUUUUCGAGUAUCUUCGAAUUGUUUUCAAAUUUUUUUUCAAAUUUUUUUCGAUUUUUUUUUUGGGGGGUUUUCAGAUCUUUUUUGGAAAUUUUUUAAAUUUUUUUUCGAUUUUUUUCUGAGCUUUUUUGGAUUUUUUUUUUCCAUUUUUAAAAAUCUGUUUUUCAAGUUUUUUUUCAAAUUUUUUGGAAUUUUUGGGGUCCCACCAGGAUGAAUUUCGGGGUCCCAGGAUGGAUUUCAGGGUCCUGGGUGGGAUUUCGGGCUCUCGGGGCUGGAUUCGGGGUGCCCGGGAUGGAUUUGGGGUCCCGGGGUUGGAUUUCGGGGUCCCGGGGCGGAUUUUGGGGUGCCCGGAUGGAUUCGGGGUGUCCCAGGAUGAAUUUCGGGGUGCCCGGGGCUGGAUUUCGGGGUGUUCAAGGAUGGAUUUCGGGGUGCCCGGAUGGAUUUCGGGGUGCCCGGAUGGAUUGGGGGUGCCUGGAUGGAUUUUGGCCUCUCAGGGUUGGAUUUCGGGGUGUCCCAGAUGAAUUUUGGGGUCCCGGACGGAUUUGGGGUGCCGGGAUGGAUUCGGGGUGCCCGGACGGAUUCGGGGUGUCCCAGAUGAAUUUCAGGGUGCCAGGAUGGAUUUCAGGGUCCCAGGGCUGGAUUUCGGGGUGUUCAAGGAUGGAUUUCAGGGUCCCAGGGAUGGAUUUCGGGGUGCCGGGUUGGAUUUGGGGUGCCCGGAUGGAUUUUGGGCUCUCAGGGAUGGAUUUCGGGGUAUCCCAGAUGAAUUUUGGGGUGUCCCAGAUGGAUUUCGGGGUGUCCCAGAUGAAUUUCGGGGUCCCGGAUGGAUUGGGGGUGUCCCAGGAUGGAUUUUGGGCUCUCAGGGAUGGAUUUCAGGGUGUCCCAGAUGAAUUUUGGGGUCCCGGGUGNUCUCAGGGAUGGAUUUCAGGGUGUCCCAGAUGAAUUUUGGGGUCCCGGGUGGAUUUCGGGGUGCCGCUCACCGUCAGCGCCAGCGCCAGGCUCCCGGCGCAGCCCAUCAUGCCCAGCAGCCCC
rnacentral:lncRNA from 1 species